GCUGUGAUGGCCGAGUGGUUAAGGUGUUGGACUUGAAAUCCAAUGGGGUCUCCCCGUGCAGGUUCGAACCUUGCUCGCAGCG
rnacentral:tRNA from 1 species